rnacentral:miRNA from 11 species
UAGCAGCGGGAACAGUACUGCAG